CCUGGCUGCUGGGGGAGAACGGGGAACCAGAGCCGCACCCUAACUGAAAGCGGGUCACAACCCCGAGUUGCCUGGCGGAGCCAGAACGUUGUGCUUUCUGGGCGUGCACGGUUCCCCCGGCCCGGCCUGGCGGCAUGAGGGACAGAGGGCACAGGUGAGCCUCUCGUGGGAGAGCAGCAGGUUUGGAAACAGCACCUCUGAGCAGCCAGACCCGGCUCCUCAGCAGGAAGGAAGGUGCUCCCCACCUCCGGGGUCUCCUAAGCGGCGUCGGGAGCACCAGGCCUGGAGGAGAUAAGCUGAAGCUGCCGGCAGCCCAAGUCCGAGCCCCCUGGAGGAGCUUCCCGAAGCUUCCUGACCUCGGAGGAAAGACAAAGUAAUGACCAGAGAAAAUUCCAGACCCUUAUCAGCCCAGAGCAUUGAGAGGACUCUACAGACCAGGUGGAGCAUGUAACCUCUAACGGGAGAUCCUCCCGUCCCGGCGCUCCAGACUGCAGAGGGCAGCUGAAAUCCCACCUGUUCCCCGAGCCCCCAGGAUGAGCGCCCUGUCCUCGGCCCGUGCUGGGUCUCCUCAAAAUACAACAGGGGUCCACAGGGCAGAAGACGGUGAAGACCAAGUGAGCCAUCACAGGGUAGGCUGAUUUCCAGCGUUAGUAUCUGAAAGGCACUGGAGACCCAGCUAAGAAGUAGAAUCCUACCCUAGAAACCAUGGCCCCUGCUCCUGGCGGGGAAGGGUCUGCAGGAGGAAGAGCUGAGGAUUUCCACGGCUGGGUACCCGAGCUCCAGAAACAGAAUGCGGGGGGGGGGGGGGGGUUGCUCGGCCGGCUGACGGCUUCAGCUACAAUGCUCGCUUUGCUGGCGCAGACUCACCGCUCAUGCAGGCCUCGUGCAACGGGGACGCCGUGUACAGGGGGGGGUUGACCUUGGCCCCGUAGGAGAGCAAGAGCUUCACACACUCGAUGCUGCCGGAGGCACAGGCAUCGCAGAGGGGCGUGCUGCCGUCGAUGUUGCGGGCGUCCACCUGGUGGGGAGGAAGAAACGAGUGUCAGGGUGGAGGGGAGAAGCCCACACGACUCGCUUCCUCAUCCUGACACACAUUCAUCUCUGCAAAGUCCCUUAUUAGCAGUUUUGCAGCGUGUGCCAAGGUGCCGUCCCGGGCAAGGGCGUUCAAGGACAAAGGGAGACGGGCUGGCAGCGCCUCUGAGCCCGCCAAGUGCGGGAGGGGCCCUUUUCCGGGCUCUUCUCUUGGGA